AACGAACGCUGGCGGCAGGCCUAACACAUGCAAGUCGAACGCCCUCUUCGGAGGGAGUGGCAGACGGGUGAGUAACACGUGGGAACGUACCCUUCGGUUCGGAAUAACUCAGGGAAACUUGUGCUAAUACCGGAUACGUCCGAGAGGAGAAAGAUUUAUCGCCGAUGGAUCGGCCCGCGUCUGAUUAGCUUGUUGGUGAGGUAAUGGCUCACCAAGGCAACGAUCAGUAGCUGGUCUGAGAGGAUGAUCAGCCACACUGGGACUGAGACACGGCCCAGACUCCUACGGGAGGCAGCAGUGGGGAAUAUUGGACAAUGGGCGCAAGCCUGAUCCAGCCAUGCCGCGUGAGUGAUGAAGGCCCUAGGGUUGUAAAGCUCUUUUACUCGGGAAGAUAAUGACGGUACCGAGAGAAUAAGCCCCGGCUAACUUCG
rnacentral:rRNA from 1 species